GAAACGUUUGAGGGGUAUGUGUAUGUAUGUGUGUGUGUGUUUGUCCUGGGUUGAAUGUAAAAUUAUUUCUGACUGGGGACUAGGGUAAAAGAAAAUUUUGAAGCCAGGCGUGAGUCACUGCACCCAGCCAGGAUUCUAACAAUUUCAAAGGAUUUUUAUAUGUAAUUGUCAACAUGCAAAUUAUUAUGUUAAAUUCAAGUGUUAAGUCUACAUAUUAAUGUAGCCCAUUUAUUUACUCUUAGACUCUCUCCCUAGAAAUGUAUCGUUAGUGUUCAUUCAUCUGCUUGUUCUUUCUUUUAAUGACUUUUUUUGAGCAUCUAUUUUGUGCUGAGUGCUGUGCUUGUGCUUGAGAUAUUACAGUGAACAACACUCAGGGCCCCCUACCUGUGUUUAAGUUGCUUACCUACUGGGUGGGGUGGAAGGUAGGCAGGUAAUGAAAACAUCAUUAGACAUUCAGCGUAUUCUGUGGGUUCAUAGGCGCGAGGUUCAGAGAAGACCUUUCAGGAGAAAUGUCUAAGUCAGGUCAAGUGAGGUGUAGGAGAGCUCUGGAUGGAGGAAGCAGCCUGCACAAUGUCCACAGCAAGGACGACCACAGUCUCUUACCCAAAUAACAAGUGGGUGAGUGUAGUGGGAGGAUGGAUAGGUGAGAGAGGAGGAGGAGGCCCUGUAGCCAGAUUAUCCAGGGAGGGUGUGGCUGUUUUGAGGGGUAGUAUGAAUGUUAUUCUGAGAGUAACUGUCUUUAUUGUAUUUAAGCUAUAAAGUGCAUUACAGUUAAUAUUCACUCAUUCAUUUACGCAACACAUUUUUAGGGGCAUCCAUAGCUGCUCAUUGUGCUUAAUGCUGUGGAUAUAGUGGUAAACAAAGCAUGCACAGUUCUUGGCCUCAACGAGCUUACAGUUUGGUGGGAGAGCAACCAACAGAAAAAUAAAACGUGUGCAUAUAUAAUCACUAGUGUGAAAAUGCUGUAAAAGAUGUUGUGGUAGAGAAUAAUAGAGUGAGGGUCCCUCUGACAGGUUGGGUGAGGAGGGCCUCCCUGAGUAGGCACCAUUUAAGCAGAGACCCAGAGGAUACGAAAGAUCCAGCUGUGCCCAUGCAGAGUGGGAGGAAGAGCAUUCCAGGUGGAGAGGGCAAGAUAAGCAGGAGCCCUAAGAUGCCAAAGAGCAUGGUGUGUUUGAGAAAUAGAAAGAUCCACUGUAUCUGCAGCAAGGAGGGGAGUAGCAAAGAAUGAGCAUGGAGUAGGAAGUGGGCAUCAGAUGAUACAGAGAGCUUGAGUCCCAGGGAGAGGAGUCUGAUGCAACAGGAAACCGUGAAAAGGUGUUAAGCAAGAAAGUGACAGCUUCUACUAUAAAGAUCAAUCUGCUUCAGACUGUCUAAUGCACGAUGGAACACCAGGCAUUGAGAACGGAUUAGAAAAGACCAGGGUAGGAAGCAGGAGACCAUCUCAAGAGUCCGGGUGAGGCAUGAUGGUGGUUAUUAGUCCACCAGGGUUGGGUGGAGUGAUGGAGAGAGACAAUAAGAUUCAAGAGACACUUUGGAGGUGGAAUCUCUGUCUUGCUCGUGGUUGGGAGACAGAGAAUGAAGAAUGGCUCCUGGAACCCUAGAUCUGCUCCACCAGCCCAGAUUUUUUGCAUCUCAGUUAGUAGCAAAGCCAUUCUUCUAGCUGCUCAAACCAAGAAUCUUGGUGUCAUCUUGAGUCCUCUCUUUCUUUCAUGUACAGUCCACCAGGAAAUCCUUUUGGGUCUACCUUCAAAAUACCACGGACUCUGACCACUUCUCACUACUUCAGUGACACCAUCCAAGUCCAAGUGACCAUCAUCUCUUCUCUGCUUGACUGCAGGAAACUCCUAACCGGCCGUCUGCUUCUGACCUCAUCCCCCAGCCCCAACCCCGACCCCUUUAUAGUAUAUGAUCAAAAGAGCAGCCAGAGGGAUUCUUGCAACAGUGGGUUUGAUUUUGUCACUGCUCUGCUUGAAAUCCUACAAUGGCCUUCUCUAUUUUAUACAGAAGAAAAGGCAAAGCCUCUGAAGUGACUUCUAGGUCUUUACCAGACCUGCCCACUCCUGUCACCUCUCUGUGCUUCCCCUGGGCUCUCUGUUUCAGCCCCUCCGACCUCUAAGUUCCUUGACCACACAGGCCCGCCCUGUCCGACAGCCUUUGCGCCACCUAGGAUGGGCUUCCCUCAGGUUGCGUCUGGCCAACCCCUCACUAUUUUCAAGUCUUUCUUCUCCAGGAGGGCUUCCCUGGCCACAUCAGCAGGAACUGCACACCACCGCCUCCAUACUGACCUCCCAAACACUGCCCAUUCUCUUUGGUCUACUUUUAAAUUUUGCCAUUGCACUUACUACUUUGUAAGAUAUAAUAUAAUAUACUAUUAAAAUU
rnacentral:lncRNA from 1 species